rnacentral:rRNA from 1 species
UACGUAGGGAGCAAGCGUUGUCCGGAAUCAUUGGGCGUAAAGCGCGCGUAGGUGGCCUCAUAAGUCCGUUGUGAAAGUCAAAGGCUCAACCUUUGAAAGCCGAUGGAUACUGUGAGGCUAGAGUACGGAAGAGGCGAGUGGAAUUCCUGGUGUAGCGGUGGAAUGCGCAGAUAUCAGGAGGAACACCAAUAGCGAAGGCAGCUCGCUGGGACGUUACUGACACUGAGGCGCGAAAGCGUGGGGAGCGAACAGG